rnacentral:rRNA from 1 species
UACGGAGGGGCUAGCGUUGUUCGGAAUUACUGGGCGUAAAGCGCGCGUAGGCGGCUUUGUAAGUUAGAGGUGAAAGCCUGGAGCUCAACUCCAGAACUGCCUUUAAGACUGCAUCGCUAGAAUCGUGGAGAGGUGAGUGGAAUUCCGAGUGUAGAGGUGAAAUUCGUAGAUAUUCGCAAGAACACCAGUGGCGAAGGCGGCUCACUGGCCCAUAACUGACGCUGAGGCACGAAAGCGUGGGGAGCAAACAGG